AGUUGCACAAUCAAAUGAAGGAAAAUUAUGAGAAGAGUUAAUUAAAAUAAGUAAAAUUUGUGGUUGAGGUAAUUUGCAUAAAAUGUUUAAAAUUUAUCCACAGUUCCUCCCGUCCUGUCUGUCACUCAUCAGUACUAUCUGAUCCAGCAGGGGAAAACCUGGAGUGAUGCUCAGGCUUACUGCAGAGCCACACACACUGACCUGGCUAUCAUCGACAGUAAUGACAACAUGGUCCGACUUCAGAAUGAAGCACAGAGACAACAAUUAGUUCCAGUGCUUGGAUUGGACUCUACAAUCCCAUCAACAGCUGGCGCUGGUCCAUGGGGAAUAAACCACUGGGAAGCAGUGUUCAGAUGGAGAUGGAAAAUGGAGUUCAGGUCAACACACAACUUUGGUGGAAAUGAGGAGUGUGGUGCGAUUGCUCCCUGGGGUUGGGCGAUUGUGCCCUGUACUUGGUCAAUCCCUGCUGUCUGUUUUUUGAUGGCAGUUAUACUGGACAUCAGAGCUACAUUUAUAUUUCUACUACUAUGACAUGGCUUGAAGCUCAGACUUACUGUAGUCAGCAUCACACAGACUUGUCAAGCUCAAGAGAUGUAAAUGAAGACUCAGUUAUAAAGGGACUGGUCUCAGGCUGGACUUUAAUUGGUCUGUUCAGAGACUCCUGGAAGGUGACAGACCAAACCAAAUUUCUCUACCGUCAGCUGGAUGACUGAUCUGAUCAUGCCCUGAAGAAUGAAAACUGUGGUUAUAUAAAUAACAGUCAGGCUGUUGAUGCUCUGUGCUCAGACAUAAUGCCUUUCUUCUGUUACUCAGAUGUCACAGGAAAACAACAAACACUAAGAGUGAAGGUCCGAUCCAAAGAGGAUGUGAAUGAUCCUGCAGUGAUGAAGUCCAUCUUGGAGCAGGUGGGUCUCAACCUCCACAAGACUUAUAAUGUACAUUUCCCAGUAUUCAUCAAACUCUUACACAUAUAAACUGUAUUGUAAUCAGAUUCUGACUGUUGUAUACAGUUUCUGUAUCAUUUCCUACAGGUGAGUCUCUAUCCUGCAUUAUUU